rnacentral:rRNA from 1 species
UACGUAGGAGGCGAGCGUUGUCCGGAAUCAUUGGGCGUAAAGCGCGCGUAGGUGGAGCGGCCAGUCCGGCCUGAAAGCCCCCCGGCUCAACCGGGGAGAGUGGCUGGAAACUGCCGGUCUUGAGGGCGAGAGAGGAGGGUGGAAUUCCUGGUGUAGCGGUGAAAUGCGUAGAGAUCAGGAGGAACACCCGGGGCGAAGGCGGCCCUCUGGCUCGACCCUGACGCUGAGGCGCGAAAGCUAGGGGAGCGAACGGGG